UGCGUAGGCGGAAUAUUAAGUCAGUGGUGAAAUCCUGCGGCUCAACCGUAGAACUGCCAUUGAUACUGAUAUUCUUGAAUGUAGUUGAGGUAGGCGGAAUGUGUAAUGUAGCGGUGAAAUGCUUAGAUAUUACACAGAACACCGAUUGCGAAGGCAGCUCACUAAACUACUACUGACGCUGAGGCACGAAAGCGUGGGGAGCGAACAGGAUUAGAUACCCUGGUAGUCC
rnacentral:rRNA from 1 species